UCGACCACGACUCGAGCACGGACCGCA
rnacentral:sRNA from 1 species